rnacentral:lncRNA from 8 species
AGUAAUCCUUUUAUGUUGAAGAUGGGAAUAUCACAAGUGGACUGCUGCCAUUAGGAAUCUGGCAAUGCUUGCCAGUCCUCCCUGUCCCCUCUCCCCACUCAUGUUUAUCUCCUAGUUGUCCUGCUUUCCUUUACCCAAUGAUACUCUCCAUUUAAUAUUCCAGUUUUCCUUCCCUUUACCCGGUUCCUACUCCAGAUUUCUCUGCAGGACAUGGAACUCUCUUAAAAUCAGUAGCUCUACUGAGAAGGGCUCCAGUUAAUGUCACUGAAUACAAGGAGUAUGGAGACGGCAAAGGCAUAGUUGAAAGGAGGUAACGAGUUAUAUUUUACAUUGAACAGAACCCACACCACAUCAAUGUUUCACACAUGAAACCAAAGGAAUUCCACGAUUUGAACCUUGAGUUAGUCUAGGCUACAGUAGUGUCACUGAUUCUACUCAUCGCUAGAUGGCGCUGUUGUCUUUCCCAUGUGAUUGCACACCACAAAGAACCAGGUAGGUUUGCCCAACGUAAUUCUUGUACGUUUCCUUAAUUUAUGACGCUUGUACACUAUAUCAAAUAAUUAAUCUAGCUGUCUUUGCUUUUUAUACUCUGUUGCCAAACUUUGUAAUAAGCAUUUUCUCUCACCAGAACUGCAAGAUCACUGGACCGUAGACCGCAGUGCUGAAAUGAAGCAACAGCGGCUGUGAAAUGUGUCAUUUGGAGACUACAGGCUACUAACUGCAGUCAUUUUCUUGUAAAGACGAGACGACCUCAAACUUGAUAUGACACACACGUCUAAGAGAGGAUGAAGACAGAGGUGUCAGAGGAUGUCUGUCUUACUCUGCUCCCGUCUCGGCUGGCAGAUGGAGACCCUAGGUGAGUGGAUCACUGGCCAGAAUCCCGUCUGGACUGAAGGGGUCCCAGGACAUCCUCUACUUAGUCAGGUAGUCUUCAACUCACCCCCACUUAUCUCCCAUUCUCUAUCUAUUGACAGGUAAGUGCCGUCAUUCCCUCACAGCCCAAACAAUAGCUCUCUAGGCAGGGAUCCUGUAGUCAGGCUAAAGAGAACCCAACCAGGCAUCACAGACAGACAGGGGCUUGACAUUGGCAGGACAAACGGCUGCAGACAGACAGAGCUCUCUGUCCCCGCUCCCCAGCGAAGUAUAGUGAAUUUACCUCUUUACGCUGAUCCUGGGUCAGUUUUGCAUUUCCCCCACUAAUGGUUAAGAUCACGAUUGGGAGGGGGAAUCUGAUCCCAGAUCUGUACCUAGGGGAACCUCACCCCGGGGGCCCUCAGACGACUAGCCCUAUACACACCCUUGUUGUCUCUGAGUCACACCUCCAGGUGUGGACAGUUUAAUGGUCAGCAACAUGAAAAGCCCCAGUCUGACCAGCUCA